AGUAAAGUCAGCUAAAUUAAAGCUCUUGGGCUCAUGCCCCAAAUAUAUAGGUUGAAAUCCUAUCUCUACUC
rnacentral:tRNA from 1 species